GACGAACGCUGGCGGCGUGGAUUAGGCAUGCAAGUCGAACGGUAUCAUCCUUUCGGGGGUGAGAGAGUGGCGAACUGGUGAGUAACACGUAGGUUAUCUACCCUCAAGACGGGGACAACCCAGGGAAACUUGGGCUAAUACCGGAUGUGAGCAACUUUUAGUUGUUUGAAAGGUGGCGUAAGCUGUCGCUUGGGGAUGAGCCUGCGUCCUAUUAGUUAGUUGGUGAGGUAACGGCUCACCUAGGCAAUGAUAGGUAGGCGGCCUUAACGGGUGGUCGCCCACACUGGGAUUGAGAUACGGCCCAGACUCCUACGGGAGGCAGCAGUCGAGAAUAGUCUACAAUGGUCGGAAGACUGAUAGUGCGACGCCGCGUGAACGAUGAAUCCCUUCGGGGUGUAAAGUUCUUUUAUAUGUGAGCACUGCUUCUUAUAUUAACAGUAUGGGGAAGAGAUAUUAGCAUAUGAAUAAGCAACGGCUAACUCCGUGCCAGCAGCCGCGGU
rnacentral:rRNA from 1 species